CUGCAUUCUCCCUAAUGGUAAAGGACCUUCAAUUUCCUUUGCCUCACGGUAAGGUGGCAUUUUAAUAAAACACUGUUGAUCUAGAGUACAUCAGCUAGAGGACUUUCCUAAGUAAACACCCAACCCUUUUCGCCACUCCUUUUCUUUUUGUGCAAGGAAAAGAGGAUGGUAAAUCAGGCGAGUUACGGCUACCUCUAAAAUAGGUGCUGAGGACAAUUCAACAAUGAAGAAGACAACUUAAUUCUUGUCUCCAGGAGCUCACAAUCUAGGAAUGAAGACAAACCUGGAGUCCUAAUCUGGUGCUUUUUUCACUAUACCAUAACACCUCUCUUGGACCUCUUAAGGUACCUUAAACAUUGUACUUAGAAAAAAGUCAAAACAAUAGGAAUAAUAAGCUGAUAAUAUUUUUAGAGCUAUUAAAGUUGUUUAUUAAAUUUUUUUUAGUGGUA